rnacentral:sRNA from 1 species
GCUGGGCACGGUAGUACAUGCCUGUAAUCCCAGUGGCUCAGGAGGCUGAAGCAGGAGGAUUGCAGGUUCAAAACCAGCCUGAGCAACAGUGAGGCCCUAAGCAACUCAGUGAGACUCUGUUUCUA